AGAAGAGCCAAGGUGUUUUGGUUAUUUUUUUUCCCCCUAAAAGUCAAUGGUAAAUAGGGUUAUAACACUGUCAGAUAUAAAAUAUUUUAUUAAGAAGUGUUCAUUAUGCAUUUUCCACUUUAGUUUCCCGACAGGUGCAUGCAAUAGAAAGAUCAACGACCCUGGUUUUAGAUCUAGGUCCACAGACAAACAUACCAGGUGGAUUAUCUCUUAGCAUGUCACUCAAGCUCUGUGUCAGUUUCCUAAUUUGUUUAAAAAAAAAAAAAUACCAUAGAGGGAAAAACGGUUCUUAUCGACCCUUAGUGAAAAUAUAUCUCUAUAUCUGCUAUAUUUUUGUCAAAGAAAGCUUCUAUGGCAUGGGUGGGAGGGGGUGGUCAGUGUUAUUAGAGUGAGGGAAUGGUUGAGGGCGAGAAAGGAAUUAAUAUUUGAUUGUCCUCUCAGUAACAGCAGUGCUAGGCUUCACAGACACGUGACCAGUGCAGUCGUACAGGGCUUUGCAUUCGGCAGGGUCCUGUGCCUGGUUUACUCAUGGUGGUCACCAUUCUAAAAUCCUUAAUAACGUUAUCUUUGAUUUUGUGGUCUGUAAGUGAAGCUGGAUAUGAGGAUGGAGACAUACUUGGACCUCUGCGCUGCCUUCCCACCAGUCUGAGAUGGUUUCCUAGGUCCCUCCUCGGCUCCUGCCUUCCUGGGCCCUCGCUAGCCUCCCUCUAGCUCCAUCAGCAACAGUUGGGACCUCCCCCGUUAGCAGGCGUCUGGGCGCAGGCACAGAGCGCGUCUCUCCUGCCCCAGGUAUUUCAGAGCGGGGCAGUGCAGGGGUUGAGGGUGGGGCAAGCCUUUUACCCACUGGGGAUCCAGGUAACAAGUGCAUUUCUGAGGACCUGGGUUGGAGUGUUGGGCUAGGAGGAGGGGAAGAUGCCUGGCUCAACACCCAGCUCCUAAGAUAGGCCUGGUGUGUGGGUUGAGCAGCUGGUAAGAGUGGCUAGGCUCCUGGCAGCUAUAAGCUCCCACAUGCAGGUACGCAUGCGCCACGUGAAAAGUGCCAGGUGAGGCGGGGCGGGCGCGGCUGGUGGCUGCACGUUUACUCCUGCGCUUCAAGGAGCUCAAAGGAAAAAUACCCGGAGAGAGAGACCAAGGAAGAAAGUAUAUCAGGAUGAACAGAGUUCAGCUGAAGAAGAACAAUCAGUGUAUCUUUUGAGGAAAAGCACUUCUGAUGGAUUUUGUUUAUUUAGACCUGUUCCAGCAGAAUGCAGGUGUCUGUAACAGCCGUCUCCACACCUGGAGACAGCCCAGCUGCGGGCCGUGAACGGAGCAGUGAUAGUGUCGUGAACCAAGGACAAUGAUUCUGCCCAACUGUGUGCAUCCAAAGCAAGACUAAAGUAAGAAGGACCAAGAGGAGCACCUAAUACAGCAUCUAAUGCUGAGAACGUAUAGAAUCAUUUCUUGACUAGAUGAAUGAUAAAAGCCAUUCAUUUGGGGGACUAUAUGAGCCUUCAGGUAUUGACUGGUGAAUGUUUAAAGAGCCCCUCCCUUUUAUCCUGUUUCUGAUGAAGCCACAGAUACUUCCUAAGAGCCCCUUUACCAACUAUUUUUACAUCACUUAAUGAUUCUGUAUUAUAUCCAUUUGUAUUUUAAUGAGUAAAUUUUUCACUCUGCCCUUUUUGUUACUAAAACCAGCUUAUGAACUUCUGGAGGGCAAAGGCCACAUUCUGAAUUUCAUUUUUCUUUUCUUACAGAACUACAUGGAGUAGGUAAUCAGUAAUUGCUUAGUAGUGAAACAAACUUCUACUCAAAUUUUCCUCUUUAAAAAGAAAAAGAAAAAGUAUUUUGAAAAGAACAAAUCAUGGUCAAAAGUAAAGUCUUUCAACCGGGUUAGGUGCUCCAUGACUUCAAGUGGAUACUCUCGAUAAAGAAAAAUUUAAUAUAUAGACAGUGAAGUUGUAGCUACUAACUUUAUGUGUAGGAAUAUGUUUGUGACAAAUACAAGGAAAUUUUUAUGUGGUAAUUCUAGGAUGCAAUGAAAUUCUUAGUAUAUGAGGCAUCAAUGAUAGAAAAACAUUGUCUGUCUGAUAUUCACCCAAUUAAAAACAUCUAAACAGUGUGCUAUGCUCAUUAUCUUGCUAAGAAGAAUGGAAUCCAGAAAGCUGUUGUUAUUUCUAAGAGGUUAUUUUUGUUGUUGUUGUUUAAUCAAGUACUAAUCAGGAGAGAGGUACUUUAUAUAGCAGGAGAGCCAAUUUAUCUGACAUCAAGACUGUCCAGGCAGUUAGCCUUAGAUUAUUAUUCUUAGAAUUAUGUUAGACAUAGCUUUACUUCCAAUUAAACUGUACUUCCUGUUGUUACAGUGGUUGUAAGAGGCAAAAAUUUAAAGAAAAGGGAAAAAAUGUAUUUCCCUACACUUUCCCUUCUACCAUCUCCUGUUGUAACCUUCUAAUGUUAAUUAAUUCGUGUGUAUCAGAUAAGGUUCUUUUGAUAGACACCAAUAGAAAUCCCAAACUGAAAUAACUCAACCAAAAAGGAAUCUCAUUGUUUCAUUAAUUGAGCAUUCUGGAUCUGUUAUGAUUAGGGUUUAUUACUAGUUCUACUUACUCUGGGUUGGCUCCAUUUUAAGGCAGGGUUUUUAGUGGCAUUUACUUACAUAACAGGAAAGAGAACUUCUGCCUUCGAGAGUAGAGCAAACGCUUGGUUCUGGUAAGUUGAUAUUGAGCCAUUGACCCAUCCUUGAAUCAAUCAGUGUGACCAGGGAAAUAGAAUUAGUUUAGACCUACAGUACAAGUCUUCUUCUUUGGAUGUGGGCCUGGAGAGCCAGUUGCUUCUGAACACAUUCGUAUAUGCCUGCUGAGUCCUUGC